GACAGAGGAUGCAAGCGUUAUCCGGAAUGAUUGGGCGUAAAGGGUGCGUAGGCGGUUGUUUAAGUUUGGUGUGAAAUCUCCCGGCUCAACUGGGAGGGUGCGCCGAAUACUGAAUGACUAGAGUGCGGGAGAGGAGAGUGGAAUUCCUGGUGUAGCGGUGAAAUGCGUAGAUAUCAGGAGGAACACCGGUGGUGUAGACGGCUCUCUGGACCGUAACUGACGCUGAGGCACGAAAGCGUGGGUAGCAAACAGG
rnacentral:rRNA from 1 species